CCGGCCCUCGACCGUCACCCCCUUUUGGAGUCCAGGAAUCGAGGAGGGAAACAGGGACGAGAAGAGUAUGGAGCCUUCCUUCAAGAUGUCAAAACGGAGACUCAGUAUAGACUGACGUAACAGGCUGAGCUAGAAAGAAAUGCAAAGGGACUUCAGAUCCAGCCCCCAAAAGACACAGCUCUGAUGGAGAAGAGCAGGUGUACCUGUCAACAAAGGGACAAGGCUAGUUUUCCUCCCCAGGGCUGGGAUUACAGGUGGCUGGGAUUACAGGCGUGCACCACCACACCGGCCCUGAAGAGUCUUAAAGAUGCCAUGUACAUUGGGCCCGUGUUCCAUACCACAAACCCACAGAUUGCGAUGACUUCCAUUCUCCAAGAUCCAGCUGUUACUCAGGUACCACAGGACUAAACUUCAAGCACACCAUGCAGUCUGUAUGUUAAUCUAGUUGGUAGUUAAUUUAUGCCCAACAGUGGAUCCUCUGACAGACACUAGGUAAACAACUCAAAAGAGAAACAUCCCAGACCUCCAGGGUGCACCAGACCCCUGGCACCUCCCCUCGCCCCCUGCACCUCCCCCUGCCCCAAGGCUGGCACCUUUUGCCCUUGA